UGGAACGCUUCCAAACAGGUUCCAGCGUUGAAACGACAGAUGAUGACAAGAAGGGGAAACGAAAAAGAUUCUCAAAUUCUAAGUUCAGACCCCAGCCCUCUUCUGAUGUAGACGAGUCAAGUCUUCCAGAUGCACCAGCCGUGCUGUCAUUUCGACAACCUUUUUGCGGUAACGAGGUUUUGGUGCUGCCCGAUGCUCCUGAAGUUGCAUCAAUUCCAGAAAACCAAGAAAAUGUUGACCCAUCUGUAGACUUCAGAGCUGGUUUCUCCCCAUUAAUCAAGAGUCCACUACACAGAGCCAAUAGUUUGAGUACAAGUUUCUCCCCAGUAAUCCAGAGUCCACUUCAAAGGGCCAAGAGUUUGAGUACAACUCGUCAAGUAUUAAGCUUUACAUCCCUAGCAGCAAACUUACCCUACCAGUAUAUGGGUGAAAAUGUU